rnacentral:rRNA from 1 species
AUGGGGUGGUGGUUCACCGGGGUGUAUGGGCCCCGGGAGGAUACGGACAAGGUGGCUUUCAUGCAGGAGCUCAAGGUGAUCCGAGAUUUACAUCCAGGUCCCUGGAUGCUUGCCGGGGAUUUCAACUUGAUAGCGGAUCCAUCUGAUAAAAGCAACGACCGGAUCAACCGUCAGAUGAUGGGGCAUUUCAAAAGGUGCAUCACAGAUUUGGAUAUGCACGAGCUCUACCUCAAUGGUAGGAGGUCCACCUAGUCGAACGAGCGGCUAGAACCCACACUUGAGAAACUGGAUAGAGCUCUUGUUUCCGUGUGGGAGGCUCUCUACCAUGCCUCCUUCCUGUCGGCGCUCAGCACUAACAUCUCCGACCAAUGA